rnacentral:rRNA from 1 species
CCUACGUGUGGCAGCAGUGAGGAAUAUUGGUCAAUGGACGAGAGUCUGAACCAGCCAAGUAGCGUGAAGGAUGAAUGCCCUAUGGGUUGUAAACUUCUUUUAUAUGGGAAUAAAACGUUCCACGUGUGGGAUUUUGUAUGUCCCAUCUGCAUAAGGAUCGGCUAACUCCGUGCUAGCAGCCGCGGUAAUACGGUGGAUCCGAGCGUUAUCCGGAUUUAUCGGGUUUAAAGGGAGCGUAGGUGGAUUGUUAAGUCAGUUGUGAAAGUUUGCGGCUCAAACGUAAAAUUGCAGUUGAAACUGGCAGUCUUGAGUACAGUAGAGGUGGGCGGAAUUCGUGGUGUAGCGGUGAAAUGCUUAGAUAUCACGAAGAACUCCGAUUGCGAAGGCAGUUCACUGGACUGCAACUGACACUGAGGCUCGAAAGUGUGGGUAUCAAACAGGAUUAGAUACCCCGGUAGUC